UGGUCCUGACCUUGUAAUCAAUUGUUACCUAACUUAUACAUGCAAGUCUCCGCACCCCUGUGAGAACGCCCUUUAUUUUCCUCUUGAAAUAAGGAGCUGGUAUCAGGCGCAAUACUUUGCCCAAGACACCUAGCCAUGCCACAUCCACAAGGAAAUUCAGCAGUAAUUAACAUUGAGCAUAAGUGCCAACUUGACUCAGUUAAGGUAAAGAGAGUCGGCUAAUAUGGUGCCAGCCGCCGCGGUUACACCACGAGACUCAAAUUGAUUGCCUUCGGCGUAAAGCGUGGUUAAAGUAUUUAAAAAUUAUAGUUAAAUUAUAACUAAGCUGUGACACGCUUGUCUAUAAGAAACCCAAAAACGAAAGUUACUAUAAAAUUAUCAACUUGAAUCCACGACAGCUAAGACACAAACUGGGAUUAGAUACCCCACUAUGCCUAGCCGUAAACUUUAAAUUACAUCAACAUCGCCAGGGAACUACGAGCAAAGCUUAAAACCCAAAGGACUUGACGGUACCCCAUAUCCACCUAGAGGAGCCUGUCCUGUAAUCGAUAACCCCCGUUUAACCUCACCAUUUCUAGCCUCUCAGCCUGUAUACCUCCGUCGUCAGCUUACCUCGUGAGCGCAACUCAGUGAGCUCAAUGUCUUUACAUCAAUACGUCAGGUCAAGGUGCAGUAAAUGAAAUGGGAAGAGAUGGGCUACACUAUCUAAUUUAGAUAAAACGAAUGACUAUUUAUGAAACCUAGUCGGAAGGCGGAUUUAGUAGUAAAAAGAGACAAGAGAGCUCUUUUUAACUCGGCACUGGGGUGUGUACACACCGCCCGUCACCCUCUUCGAAGCCAAAAAUACAGUAACUAACCUCACUUCGCAUUCUAGAAGAGGCAAGUCGUAACAUGGUAAGCGUACCGGAAGGUGCGCUUGGAAA
rnacentral:ncRNA from 1 species